rnacentral:rRNA from 1 species
UGGGGAAUAUUGGACAAUGGGCGCAAGCCUGAUCCAGCCAUGCCGCGUGAGUGAUGACGGCCUUAGGGUUGUAAAGCUCUUUUACCUGGGAAGAUAAUGACGGUACCAGGAGAAUAAGCCCCGGCUAACUUCGUGCCAGCAGCCGCGGUAAUACGAAGGGGGCUAGCGUUGUUCGGAUUUACUGGGCGUAAAGCGCACGUAGGCGGAUCUUUAAGUCAGAGGUGAAAUCCCGGGGCUCAACCUCGGAACUGCCUUUGAUACUGGGGAUCUCGAGUUCGGGAGAGGUGAGUGGAACUGCGAGUGUAGAGGUGAAAUUCGUAGAUAUUCGCAAGAACACCAGUGGCGAAGGCGGCUCACUGGCCCGAUACUGACGCUGAGGUGCGAAAGCGUGGGGAGCAAACAGGAUUAGAUACCCCCGUAGUCC